rnacentral:miRNA from 1 species
UCAGUCGCAGGAGAGAUGACAC